rnacentral:rRNA from 1 species
UACAGAGGGGCAAGCGUUGUUCGGAAUUACUGGGCGUAAAGGGCGCGUAGGCGGCCUUCUAAGUCGAACGUGAAAUCCCCGGGCUCAACCCGGGAACUGCGUCCGAUACUGGAAGGCUUGAAUCCGGGAGAGGGAUGCGGAAUUCCAGGUGUAGCGGUGAAAUGCGUUGAGAUCGGAAAGGAACGCCCGUGGCGAAAGCGAAGGUCCUGGACGUUUACUGACGCUGAGACGCGAAAAGCCAGGGGAGCCGAA